GCGGGUGUGGUGAAAUCGGUAGACACCCCGGAUUUAGGUUCCGGUGCCGCAAGGCGUGGGGGUUCAAGUCCCUCCACCCGCACCA
rnacentral:tRNA from 1 species